AGCUCCACUUGAGCGGGCCCUGGCCACUCUCCAUGGGGUACUAACUUCUAGGUACUAACUUCUGAAUGGCGUCACUCACUCAUAAACUCAUAUAUUCACACAAACAUCCAAGAUACAACUGUGGGAGGCAAUCAAAGAUCAAAACUCAAACUUUCAACUACUCCUUUUAGAAAUUUGAUUUUCAUUGAAACGAAAGACCAUUUUGUGCUUCCCAAUUUCUUAUGCUAAUGUCUCGCAAACAAGAAGAGACCACCAUAAAGGUCACUAACAUCAUAUCAUCUUCCAGGAAAUGUUUUCUCGCAAUUUGUAUCGUCGUCUCAAUCACUUUCUUCUCUUAUUCAACUUUCUCUCGCCAUCCUGGCUGGCUCGGUUACUCAAAAUCCAACCCAAAUUUUUUACAUUUCGAUCACACCACAAAAAUCAGCACAGACACAUCUCUGUUAGGCUCUGAACAACAAACCAACAUAUCACACAUAGUCUUCGGUAUCAGCAGCUCCGUAAAAACAUGGACUGGUCGCCGCGACUACUGUGAGUUAUGGUGGAAACCCAACAUCACCCGUGGGUUCGUAUGGCUCGACGAAAAGCCCCCCGACAACGUAACAUGGCCAAACACAUCACCACCGUACAUGGUUUCCCAAAACACGUCGAGGUUCAAGUACACGUGCUGGUACGGUGCACGAUAUGCCAUUCGAAUAGCGAGGAUUGUGAAAGAGAGUUUCGAAUUGGGGUUAGAGAAUGUGAGGUGGUUCGUGAUGGGGGACGAUGAUACGGUGUUUUUCCUGGAGAAUUUGGUGACGGUUUUAGGAAAAUAUGAUCAUAAUCAGAUGUAUUAUAUUGGUGGCAAUUCGGAGAGCGUUGAACAAGAUGUUAUUCAUUCGUAUGCUAUAGCUUAUGGCGGUGGUGGGUUUGCGGUGAGUUAUGCGUUAGCGGCGGAGCUUGUGAGGAUUUUGGAUGGGUGUAUUGAUCGGUACGCAGAGCUCUACGGCGGUGAUCAGAAGGUUGGGGCUUGUGUGACUGAGCUUGGGGUGCCACUCACUGUAGAGCUUGGUUUCCAUCAGGUAUCCGGCUUCUAUCGCUGGUCUGCGUCCACCGACUAAUCCUCAGAAGGGGCAAUCACAGCAUCCCACCGCCGCGGCCCCCCACUUAUAUUUUCUAGUUGGGCAUCCAAACAGAGUUGAAGAGGUGUUAUUGGAUGUUGGUGGGUUCAUAUUUGAGAAUCUAAGACUAUCCAGGUUGAUUUAAAAGGAGACCCAUAUGGGUUACUAGCAGCACACCCGGUGGCGCCACUAGUCUCCCUGCACCACGUAGACUCCAUGCAACCACUCUUUCCCAUGCCUAACAAAGCUUGACUCCCCUUAAAAACUGGUCCA